UACGUAGGGUGCAAGCGUUGUCCGGAAUUAUUGGGCGUAAAGAGCUCGUAGGCGGUCUGUCGCGUCGGAUGUGAAAAUCAGGGCUCAACCCUGGACCUGCAUUCGAUACGGGCAGACUAGAGUUCGGUAGGGGAGACUGGAAUUCCUGGUGUAGCGGUGAAAUGUGCAGAUAUCAGGAGGAACACCGGUGGCGAAGGCGGGUCUCUGGGCCGAAACUGACGCUGAGGAGCGAAAGCAUGGGGAGCGAACAGG
rnacentral:rRNA from 1 species